UACGUAGGGUGCAAGCGUUAUCCGGAAUUAUUGGGCGUAAAGAGCUCGUAGGCGGUUUGUCGCGUCUGCUGUGAAAACUGGAGGCUCAACCUCCAGCCUGCAGUGGGUACGGGCAGACUAGAGUGCGGUAGGGGAGAUUGGAAUUCCUGGUGUAGCGGUGGAAUGCGCAGAUAUCAGGAGGAACACCGAUGGCGAAGGCAGAUCUCUGGGCCGUAACUGACGCCGAGGAGCGAAAGUGUGGGGAGCGAACAGG
rnacentral:rRNA from 1 species